rnacentral:rRNA from 1 species
CCUACGGGCGGCAGCAGUGAGGAAUAUUGGUCAAUGGGCUUACGCCUGAACCAGCAAAGUCGCGUGAGGGAAGACUGCCCUAUGGGUUGUAAACCUCUUUUGUCAGGGCGCAAUAGGCGCUACGUGUAGCGUUAUCGAGAGUACCUGAAGAAAAAGCAUCGGCAACUUCCGUGCCAGCAGCCGCGGUAAUACGGAGGAUGCGAGCGUUAUCCGGAUUUAUGGGGGUAAAGGGAGGCGUAGGCGGAAUGCCAAGUCAGCGGUAAAAUCGCGGGGCUCAACCUCGCUCCGCCGUUGAAACUGGCGUUCUUGAGUGAGCGAGAAGUAGGCGGAAUGCGGGGUGUAGCGGUGAAAUGCAUAGAUAUCACGCAGAACUCCGGUUGCGAAGGCAGCAUACCGG